rnacentral:rRNA from 1 species
CCUACGGGGGGCAGCAGUGGGGAAUAUUGGGCAAUGGGCGCAAGCCUGACCCAGCAACGCCGCGUGAAGGAAGAAGGCUUUCGGGUUGUAAACUUCUUUUCUGAGGGACGAAGAACGUGACGGUACCUCCGGAAUAAGCCACGGCUAACUACGUGCCAGCAGCCGCGGUAAUACGUAGGUGGCAAGCGUUAUCCGGAUUUAUUGGGUGUAAAGGGCGUGUAGGCGGGAAAGCAAGUCAGAGGUGAAAACUCAGGGCUCAACCUUGGGCCUGCAUUUGAAACUGUUUUUCUUGAGUGCAGGAGAGGCAAGCGGAAUUCCGGGUGUAGCGGAGAAAUGCGUAGAUAUACGGAGGAACACCAGUGGCGAAGGCGGAUUGCUGGACAGUAACUGACGCUGAGGCGCGAAAGCGUGGGGAGCAAACAGGAUUAGAUACCCGAGUAGUC